rnacentral:rRNA from 1 species
GGUUAAAAAGCUCGUAGUUGGAUUUCUGUUGAGGGCAGCCGGUCCGCACUCGGUGCGUGUAUCUGGUUUGACCUCGGCAUCCUCUCAAAAUACGUUUCUGCGCUUGAUUGCGUGGAGCGGAGUUUGAGACUUUUACUUUGAGGAAAUUAGAGUGUUCACGGCAGGCAAUCGCCUUGAAUAUAUUAGCAUGGAAUAAUAAUAUAGGAUCUUGGCUCUAUUUUGUUGGUUUCUAGAGCUAAGAUAGUGAUUAAUAGGGACAAUUGGGGGCAUUCGUAUUAACGCGUCAGAGGUGGAAUUCUUGGAUUGCGUUACGACGAACUACUGCGAAAGCAUUUGCCAAGGAUGUUUUCAUUGAUCAAGAACGAAAGUAAGGGGAUCGAAGACGAUUAGAUACCGUCGUAGUCUUUACCAUAAACUAUGCCAACUAGAGAUGGGGUGUCGUUCUUUUCUGACUCACUCCGCACCUUAUGAGAAAUCAAAGUUUUUGGGUUCCGGGGGGAG